CUUCUCAUUAAGUAUAUUUAUGUGUUUGUUACUCCAAUUGUGUAUGAUUUGUACUGCAGUAAAUAAUCUCUACGUUGUUACAGAGCAAAGAGCAGAACCAACUUAUUAUUCACUGGCAGUCUGGAUAUGGACAGUACUUACCUAGAGACAAAAUCAACAGAAUUCUUCUAAAACCAGAAACGAGUAUAACUAAAUUGAAUGGCAGCAUGAAGGACAAGCUCUGUCUCCAAAUGAUAGAACAGCUCUCGAGGAGUGGAUGAAAGCAAAUCAGAUCCCCAGUAAAUGAAGUCCACAAAGCCCCUAACAUUGGAGUUACAAUCAAUCACCACAGAAAAUAAUUUUCUGGACUGCAGUGCCACCCUGAGCAGGCACCAAGUGCAGGAAUGCAAAAGGGGCAAUUAAUCAGUUUACUGGUAACAGAAAGGUGUGUUUCAAAGAAUACAUUGCUUUCUUAAUUCAGAUGUGAGCUCUAAAGAGUUUUUUAUGCAGUUAAUAUUCUGGUUUGUGGAAUCUAUUAGGGCUCAGUUAAAAGACCUAUGGGUAAUUAGGGGAGAAAAAGGAACAGUCCAGUUAUCCCAAAGAAAAAUAGAGACUUUUUCUACAAUAAUCCAUAAGUGCACUUUUCUACCAUAAAUGUACUUCCUUCAGUAAUCUAUAAAAGCAAAUGUUUGCAAUAAACGCAUGGUCAUUUAAAAAAUUGAAGCUCUAUCUAGUUAUACUUCCUAGCUUAUAAAUGGAAUUCAGUUAUCCGAAUUUGAGCAAUAUAAAAUCAUUACUUCUCUUUCUGAAGGAUGUACUUUCAGAAUACAUAUUCCACAAGUUGAAACAAUGCACCCUGAUAAGGAAUAAAAGUUGUGCAUACACACACAGAGUUUACUAAAGAAAUCCUUAAUUUUUUUUUCCUGUAAAUUACCAUGGAUUAGCUAAAGUAAAUUUCUAAUUGCACUUAAGAGCGGCCUCUUUCUCAGAUGGAAAUAAGAUUUCAUCUUUAAUUUUUGUUAAAAUCAAAAUGUUGUAAAUGAUCCACCAGCUCUGGUCUGUGUAAUUGUCAGCAGUAGCAUGCUUUCAUGAAGUUCAUGGCUGUAGAUAUCCUGUUGACUGUCUCAUUUAAAUCUUUCCUUUGCAUUCUAAUCAGAUAGAAACAGGGUCCAAUUCCCAAUU